CAACCCUCGAACCCCUCCGGGGGUCCGGCGUUGGGGAUCGGCCCUUAACCGGCCGGCCCCGAAAUACAGUGGCGGCCUCGCCGCAGCCUCUCAUGCGCAGUAGUUUGCACACUCGCACCGGGAGCGCGGCGCGGCCACAGCCGUAAAACAAACCAAACUCUGAAA
rnacentral:misc_RNA from 2 species